AGCCUCUUUCUUGAACGAGUCUGGGCACUGCUGCUCAGCGUCCAGAAGUUGUUAAUGGGGCUACACUGAGACACAGCCUAUACUCCUAUCUCAGUAAAUUUGUUUUGAUGGUGACAAUGAGACCUGUAAUAUUU